UACGGAGGGUGCAAGCGUUGUCCGGAUUUAUUGGGUUUAAAGGGUGCGUAGGCGGUCCGUUAAGUCAGUGGUGAAAGCCUCCAGCUCAACUGGAGAACUGCCAUUGAUACUGACGGGCUUGAGUACAGACGAGGUUGGCGGAAUUGAUUGUGUAGCGGUGAAAUGCAUAGAUACAAUCAAGAACUCCGAUUGCGUAGGCAGCUAACUAGGCUGUAACUGACGCUGAGGCACGAAAGCGUGGGGAGCGAACAGG
rnacentral:rRNA from 1 species